rnacentral:rRNA from 1 species
CUUUAGUGGCGGACGGGUGAGUAACGCGUGGGUAACCUGCCUUACACAGGGGGAUAACACUUAGAAAUAGGUGCUAAUACCGCAUGAGCGCACAGGACCGCAUGGUCGAGUGUGAAAAACUCCGGUGGUGUAAGAUGGACCCGCGUCUGAUUAGCUUGUUGGCGGGGUAGGGGCCCACCAAGGCGACGAUCAGUAGCCGGCCUGAGAGGGUGGACGGCCACAUUGGGACUGAGACACGGCCCAAACUCCUACGGAAGGCAGCAG